UACGUAGGGUGCGAGCGUUGUCCGGAAUUAUUGGGCGUAAAGAGCUUGUAGGCGGUCUGUCGCGUCUGCUGUGAAAAUCCGGGGCUCAACCCCGGACUUGCAGUGGGUACGGGCAGACUAGAGUGUGGUAGGGGAGACUGGAAUUCCUGGUGUAGCGGUGAAAUGCGCAGAUAUCAGGAGGAACACCGAUGGCGAAGGCAGGUCUCUGGGCCAAUACUGACGCUGAGAAGCGAAAGCAUGGGGAGCGAACAGG
rnacentral:rRNA from 1 species